AUACGGAGGAUGCAAGCGUUAUCCGGAUUUAUUGGGUUUAAAGGGUGCGUAGGCGGUUUGCUAAGCGGGAGGUGAAAUGCCGGCGCUCAACGUCGGAAGUGCCUCCCGAACUGGUGGACUUGAAUGACUCUGCCGUGGGAGGAAUGUGUAGUGUAGCGGUGAAAUGCUUAGAGAUUACACAGAACACCGAUUGCGAAGGCAUCUCACGAAGGGUUGAUUGACGCUGAGGCACGAAAGCGUGGGGAUCAAACAGGAUUAGAUACCCUGGUAGUCCACGCAGUAAACGAUGAUGGCUAACCGCUGGGCUUAUCAGUUCAGUGGCCAAGCGAAGGCGAUAAGCCAUCCACCUGGGGAGUACGACCGCAAGGUCGAAACUCAAAGGAAUUGACGGGG
rnacentral:rRNA from 1 species